AAAAUACCAGUUCCCAUACAAUUACUGAAGUUAAGCAAUGUUGGGCAUGAUCAGUACUUAGAUGGGUGACCACUUGAGAUUACUAGGUGCUGUAAG